ACAAAUCCUAAGUCAGGGGGCUUUGACAAAUAACAAAAACUUCCAUCAAGUCCCUAAAGAGACUGGAGUCAUUAACAUUACAGGCACAACCCUUGGCAAGAGAACAACUAGGAACAAAGAAGAAUUAUUACUAAGAGAACAAUAAAGUGGUUUAGAUACAUCAAGAUCAAUUAGGCAUUAGUUUUAAUAUAGCCUAAAGUUAAAAGCUGUAAAACAACAGAGAAUUUUCCUAUUUGCAUCAUUUAAAGUUCACAGCCCAAGGAAAAUAGCAUGUAUAAAGAAACUAGAGAGCCUUCUCUGAAUUGUGUGUCAAUUAUCUAAUUACCUUUGAUAACAUCAGGUGCAAACCUUCAAGGAAAAAGCUUUAAAGAUCUCUUGCAGGUAUGGGUGUAUUAGGAGAGUAAUAAGACUUGUUGCAGGGACAAGAGAAAGGAGGAGGAACUGCAUCUUGAGAGACAAGAGUUAGUGGAGCAUGUUUAUCAACUCCAAAUGCAGCUUCUCAGCUUAGGAAGAGAGACAGGGAGACUGGUUUCUGCUUUGACUCUCACUUCCAGGCUGAGAUGCUGUCAUGUGUUCCUGCUAGUCAAGAAGGAGAGAAUCCAAGCCUGGCUCCUACCUCCUGGCCUCCCUCCUUCCUCUGCAGUGUCUGUGGAUGAGGAAGAGUGAGAGCACUUUUUGAUCCUGGUGUCUGGGCACCUCCUUGCAGAGGCAGCAGGGCUCUCUGACUGAGGAGGGCAGGGACAAGAUCUCUGUCUACAGACACAGCUCUGCCUUAGUGCUUGCAUAGGGCAGCUGCCCUUGAACUCCCAUCAGGAAAAGCCUGGCACCACCAGCUUGGGCAGUAGCUCUGAGCAUUAGGUGCUCAGUGGUGGUGCUUACAUCCCUGCUUCUCUGACUGGUCAUUCCCUGCACCAGUUGGAGGAGUGCUGCCUGUCUGCACUAUGGGAAUUGCUUUGAGGUCUGGACAACAUGCUGCCCCAGCCAGUUGGGAAGAUUUGUCUGCACUCCUGGUCAGCACUACUAUCUGCCCUCUGAUUUUUGAAGGGAAAUUGUAGUGACUUCUUCAGCUGGAAGCCUUGUGACCAGCUGAGCCUUCUCCAUGUUCGUGACAAGAAACCCACAUUUGUGGCUCUUUAAGAAGGUUUGACCCUGAUUCCUCAAGGACUGGGACACACAACUGACAUGAGACCACACCAACCAAAAAUCAGAUUCAGGAAAUGAUGCGAGUUUAAUUUCUGUUUGAAAUGCUCAGAAAUAUGGCACCUUGGAAAAGGAGAUUUUCCAGACCUGAGACUGGGCUGAGUAUAUGACUACUCAUACUUUUGUCUGGCUCAAAGUACAGGUUGUAAAAGACUUUGAAAAGUGGCUUAGAAUAGUACUGGAGGCAAUCCAAAGCCAAAUUUAAUUUGAAUUUUCUAUCUGAGCUGAUACAAAUUCUACAAGAGUGAAAAUAUUUUCUAUAGGUCUUCUUAGGCACUUUACUACAUAGGAGGAGCUGUAAGUGCAGAAUUUGAAACUUCAGCACAUCCUUAACAAGGAUGCAACUGAAAUAAAACACUUCCAAGGUCAGUAUUAAUCUAAUACUUCUGGAGUCAGACUGCAUGGCCUGUGCAUGAGAAGAAAAAAGGUAGAAGAUGCUCGCUGUUGAGGAAUCAGGGCAGGCAGGCAGAGUGGUCAAACAAAAACAUGACGCCUUCUCCAAUCCGCUGUCAUGGGUGGCUGCGGCUGAGAGAGGGGCUGGCUGGCAUGAACACCCUGUCCACUGGCCCGCACUGCCUCCCAGUGGGCAUCGGCUACUUCUCUUUCGGGAUAAAACAAACGCUGGGGGGGUUAAAAUUCCUGGUACAGAAGCCAUUGUCCUCGGAUAGCUAAUGGGGGAGUUCACUGACAGCGAGACUUCGGCUAUCUAAAACCAGAACGACAAAGCUCUUGAUCAUCCUCCAAGGGUGUAGCUCUCUGUGAAAUCACAGAUGUGUGGUUUCCCUUUGCCUAUGGCUUUGUGCAAAACAUACACUUCUAUCUGAAAAAUAACCCCAAACCCAAAUCUGUUUUCAGCAGGCAACCUUACAAAUGUGAGUUGUCAUCAUAUCAACUUGCAUGCAGAGGGCUCUGUCCCCACCACUCUGAGCUCUGAGGAGCAGCAGCAGAGCAGUGUCACAUCCCAUGGCUGUACCCUCCAUGCAGUGCUAUUACUAACUUUAUUUUUCUUCUCACUUUACUGGAGUGUGCUGAGAGCAACAGCACAGGACAUUAAAAAGGGAUGCCAAACAUGAAGAAUGAAACAACAUGAGGAAAGAGCACUGUUUGCUGCAGUAAGGCCUCCACUAAAGACUGCAGGAAGAGUUGGAGAGAUGCCUCUAUACUUCCCUGACAGCCUACCGACCUUCCCAGUUUACAGCCCCAACUUGCCUUUUCCUUUUGGGCUCAGCAAGCCAGGGGAUCUGUUCAGAGCUAGGCACCUCAACUCUGUGUUUCCCAUCCAAAAAACCCUAACAGUCCCUCCCAGCGCUAUGCAGAUGUUGCUGCCUACCUGAAAACAGUCACCUAAAUCUUUGUGUUGGGAUAUCUGUGUGAUUGCUGCAGCUGCACACAGGGAGGGGCUUUGAGGAAAACAGCUCUGUGCUCCUGUGGAAGUCACAGGGCUGUGCAAACACUUAUGAGGAUUAGAGCUGUUGCUAAUGCCUUAAACACUGCAUUUGUCUACGUCUCAUACCUUGAUCUUACAGAAUGAGAAAGAAAAAAACAAAGACAUCACAUAGUGCUAUAGCACAAGUUAUAUGAAUAAACAAACUGGGGCUAGGUGUGUCCAACUACAAAGGUCACUUAGGUGUGGGCAGUUUUUCCUCCAAAGUCAUCCUGUUCAAGGUGUAAUAUCCUGUUUUAUUUCUGCAGUUCUUAUCAUUGAAAGUUCAAGAUCCAUGGAUCUGAUACCCUCCAGUGCAUGUAAGAAAUAGAAUGGAAAAAUAUCGGAGCAAGUGGAUAGUACUGAAUAGUGUAGUACUGAAUAGUACUCAGAAAAAACCAAAAGUUGUAUUACAUUGGAAGUACUGUUUUUGCAUCACUCUGGUUUUGGGAGAGCUUACAUUACCACGUUUCUGUGUGUGUAUGCAUGCACGUGUGGCAGUCCUUCAAAGGAGGAAAUAGGAUGCCUAACUUUUAGUGCAGAAAAUUAGUAACAAAAUAACACACAAGCUGUGGGGCUGAUAGCAUCUCUGUAAUCUUGUACUUAAUCUGCUAUCCCCAAGAAAAAUCUGUUGACUUUCCAGUUCUACUCUGCCCAGGCUGCACACAGCAAUUAAUGGGCCUUACCCUACGCCUGUAUAACAACCCCUGAAGUUAAACGUUUGCACCUGAAUUUUCACAAAUCGGUGCCCAGACAGCGCUGCUCACCCAGCCGGGAAAGCCGAAGCCCCG